rnacentral:rRNA from 1 species
AGAUACCCGCGUAGUCCUAGCCGUAAACGAUACUCGCUAGGUGUCGGCCACGGUGCGACCGUUGUCGGUGCCGUAGGGAAGCCGUGAAGCGAGCCACCUGGGAAGUACGGCCGCAAGGCUGAAACUUAAAGGAAUUGGCGGGGGAGCACCACAACGGGUGGAGCUUGCGGUUUAAUUGGAUUCAACGCCGGAAAUCUUACCGGGACCGACAGCAACAUGAAGGCCAGGCUGAAGACUUUGCCGGAUUAGCUG